GAAAUCUGGCGACUUAAUCGUCAGGCGUCCAAGAGAUACUGAUAGGCUUGGGACCGGGAGAGGUGGGAGGUACUCCAGGGGUAGGGGUGAAAUCUCGUAAUCCUUGGGGGACCACCGAUGGCGAAGGCAUCCCACCAGAACGGGUCCGACGGUGAGGGACGAAAGCUGGGGGCACGAACCGGAUUAGAUACCCGGGCUAGUCCCAGCUGUAAACGAUGCUCGCUAGGUGUCAGAUGCGGUGCGACCGCAUCUGGUGCCGCAGUGAAAACUUGAAGCGAGUCACCUGGGAAGUACGGUCGCAAGGCUGAAACUUAAAGGAAUUGGCGGGGGAGCACUGCAACGGGUGGAGCCUGCGGUUCAAUUGGAUUCAACGCCGGAAAGCUUACCGGGUCAGACAGCAAUAUGAAGGUCAAGCUAAAGACUUUACCGAAUUCGCUGAGAGGAGGUGCAUGGCCGUCGUCAGUUCGUAUCGUGAGACAUCCUGUUAAGUCAGGCAACGAGCAAGACCCGUGCCCACAGUUGCCAGCAUACCCUCCGGGGUGAUGGGCACACUGUGGGGACCGCCGCUGCUAAAGCGGAGGAAGGGGCGGGCUACGGUAGGUCAGUAUGCCCCGAAUCAUCCGGGCUACACGCGGGCUACAAUGGUUGGGACAAUGGGCACCUACACCGAGAGGUGAUGGUAAUCUCCUAAACCCAGCCUUAGUUCGGAUUGAGGGCUGCAACUCGCCCUCAUGAAGCCGGAAUCCGUAGUAAUCGCGU
rnacentral:rRNA from 1 species